UACGUAGGGUGCAAGCGUUAAUCGGAAUUACUGGGCGUAAAGCGUGCGCAGGCGGUUGGUUAAGUCAGAUGUGAAAGCCCCGAGCUCAACUUGGGAACUGCGUUUGAAACUGGCCAACUAGAGUACGUCAGAGGGGGGUGGAAUUCCGCGUGUAGCAGUGAAAUGCGUAGAGAUGCGGAGGAACACCAAUGGCGAAGGCAGCCCCCUGGGAUGAUACUGACGCUCAUGCACGAAAGCGUGGGGAGCAAACAGG
rnacentral:rRNA from 1 species